CUCAGGAUGAACGCUGGCGGCGUGCUUAACACAUGCAAGUCGAACGGAGUUAUUACGAAAGCUUGCUUUGUUCUAACUUAGUGGCGGACGGGUGAGUAACGCGUGAGAAACCUGCCCUUUAGUGGGGAAUAACACCGAGAAAUCGGUGCUAAUACCGCAUAAUGUCGGAUCAUCGCAUGUUGAGCCGACCAAAGGAUUUAUUCGCUGAAGGAUGGUCUCGCGUCCGAUUAGGCAGUUGGUGAGGUAACGGCUCACCAAACCAACGAUCGGUAGCCGAACUGAGAGGUUGAUCGGCCACAUUGGGACUGAGACACGGCCCAGACUCCUACGGGAGGCAGCAGUGGGGAAUAUUGGGCAAUGGGCGCAAGCCUGACCCAGCAACGCCGCGUGAAGGAUGACGGUCUUAGGAUUGUAAACUUCUUUAAUCGGGGAAGAAUAAAUGACCUACCCGAAGAAUAAGCCACGGCUAACUACGUGCCAGCAGCAGC
rnacentral:rRNA from 1 species